rnacentral:rRNA from 1 species
CCUACGGGAGGCAGCAGUGGGGAAUAUUGCACAAUGGGGGAAACCCUGAUGCAGCGACGCCGCGUGAGUGAAGAAGUAAUUCGUUACGUAAAGCUCUAUCCGCAGGGAAGAAACACUGACCUUACGGUCAGCAGACGGUACCUGAGUAAGAAGCCCCGGCUAACUACGUGCCAGCAGCCGCGGUAAUACGGAGGGUGCAAGCGUUAUCCGGAUUCACUGGGUGUAAAGGGAGCGUAGACUGUGCGCCAAGUCUGGAGUGAAAGGCCGCAGCUUAACUGGGGGAAUGCUUUGGAAACUGGCGAACUAGAGUGCGGGAGGGGUGAGCGGAAUUCCUAGUGUAGCGGUGAAAUGCGUAGAUAUUAGGAGGAACACCAGUGGCGAAGGCGGCUUACUGGACCGUAACUGACGUUGAGGCUCGAAAGCGUGGGGAGCAAACAGGAUUAGAUACCCGGGUAGUC